rnacentral:rRNA from 1 species
GACGAACGCCGGCGGCGUGCUUAACACAUGCAAGUCGAACGGAAAGGCCCUGCUUUUGUGGGGUGCUCGAGUGGCGAACGGGUGAGUAACACGUGAGUAACCUGCCCUUGACUUUGGGAUAACUUCAGGAAACUGGGGCUAAUACCGGAUAGGAGCUCCUGCUGCAUGGUGGGGGUUGGAAAGUUUCGGCGGUUGGGGAUGGACUCGCGGCUUAUCAGCUUGUUGGUGGGGUAGUGGCUUACCAAGGCUUUGACGGGUAGCCGGCCUGAGAGGGUGACCGGCCACAUUGGGACUGAGAUACGGACCAGACUCCUACGGGAGGUAGCAGUGGGGAAUAUUGCACAAUGGGCGGAAGGCUGAUGAAGCAACGCGGCGUGAGGGAUGACGGCCUUCGGGUUGUAAACCGCUUUCGACUGUGACGAAGCGUGAGCGACGGUAAUGGGUAAAGAAGCACCGGCUAACUAC